GAAAUGGCGAUGAGUGGGAAGAGUAGGUAGUAAGGUGUUUCCAACAGAGAGUCAGGUUAGGUGAGAGCUGACGAAACGCCUACUAUUGAACAUGGCCCAGGAGCUGCAGGCUGAAGUAGCAGUAGGCCUAGCCGGGAAGCGCCCGUUAGCGCGCAAGGGUAUAGUGAUCUGUACCUGGAAGCGGCUGUGCUGUGCACGGCAAAAUUGGGUGGUACCGCGUGAGUAGAACUCUCGUCCCGAUA
rnacentral:ncRNA from 1 species